UGGCGGACGGGUGAGUAACGCGUGGGGAACCUGCCCUGUACCGGGGGAUAGCAGCCGGAAACGGCUGAUAAUACCGCAUAAGCGCACGAAUGUCGCAUGACAUGGUGUGAAAAACUCCGGUGGUAUAGGAUGGACCCGCGUCUGAUUAGCCUGUUGGUGGGGUAAAAGCCUACCAAAGCGAAGAUCAGUAGCCGAGUUGGGAGACUGACCGGCCACAUUGGGACUGAGACACGGCCCAGACUCCUACGGGAGGCAGCAGCA
rnacentral:rRNA from 1 species